ACUGUGAUGUUGUCAAAUUGAAAAAAUUAAAAGUGUGUUGUAUUGUUGUUAAGUUUUAAGGCAAUCUAUAAAAAAUGUGGAUAAAGGGGUUUUACUGACUUUCACAUUUGCUGUGACCUUGACCCGAUUUUCACCAGAAUUAGCUCAGCUGAAGCUGUUAUUGGUAUUUAUAAGCACACAAUAUCUUGAAAACUCUGGAUGUUAGACAGACAGACAAACCGAGAAUCAAGCAGAAUAAAUAAUAAAUAAAAAUAAACAAAAGUCCAAAAACAGUGGAUUAAAUGACACAUACAAUGUAACUAUACAGUAGUACAAUGUUGCCUAAACUGUACAAGUCAUAGGAAAUUUACAAGAUAAUAAACUGUCUGAUGAUGUCAUUAUGAAGAAUAGCACAGGUAAACAAAACAAUAUAAACAGUGACGUAAAUUCACAGCAAGCCUCGGACAUAUUCAAAGGUUUCCUGCACACAAACACUCCUGACAAAAAACAUGGAAAGAAAAAAAAAUCCCACCACCGUCUCUGAGUCAAUCACAUCUCUGCUUCCUUUCCAUUGGUUUUUCACUCCAACCACCAACCACGGAGCUCUCGACUGUUACUUCAGUCUAUCAUAGACGGCUGUGACAGAAAGAACGAUGAAAGGGAAAAUUCCUCAUCAGUGAUGGAGCUUCCACUGUUCCACAAAGUUCCACUCUGAAGGUUGUCAGAGUACAUAAACGAUGAAGUGGGGUGUUUUCAUACCUUUGGGAGUUAAAUCUGUAUCUGACACCAGCAGCAGGACAUAAUCACCGCCAUGUGCGUCUCUCAGUGGUCGACUCUCUGCAGCUCGGUGGUGUUGCUGUGUCUGCUGUGCAGCUCGGGAAACAUCUACCAGGAUGUCCCUUGAAGCAGAGAGCAACCUGCCAAGCACCCCAAGGCUGAUUAUGCUUGGUAAGAAGUCAUUUAUGAAAUAGAGCUGAUUAGACCAUAUUAAAAUGUCUGUUUGGCACAGGAGCUUUUCGUGGACACAGGUAUCCAGUCUCUGUUUUGUUAGCUCAAAUUUCUGUAAUUUCCUUUAUAAACCAAGGUUGUUGGACAUGUGUCUCAGUGAACCCAGCAAGGUAACAAUAUCAAAUUUCACAUUACAUAUUACUGAUCAACAUAGUAGUCUAGCUACACCAACAGCAGAAAUAAGGAAGUCAAUACUGUAAAGUUUAACAGCAGCACAAACUAUAAACUCCAAAAUAACCAUACAGUUGAUUCAUCUCCGGUAAUUUAAUUGGGCUGACUCUUUGUUAGGUGUGUUUAAUGUGCAGAAUAAUUCCCAAUUAUGUACAAUUCUAAUAUGUUAAAACGGACUUAUGUACAUAAGGCCAUUAAUAAUUAACUGUAUGUAGCUAUUUGCUUUUUGAUUAUCUAGACAGUGUGAAGAAGUGAAGUAUUGAAAUUAUUUUAUGUUGCAUAAUGACAACAUGUUGCCCCUAUACAUUUAAGGACAAAGUUCAAUGACCGCCACCUGCUGGAGGGUGAGUGCAGAGGGCCGUGUAAUUGUUGAGCUGGACAAAGAGAACACCUUUGCUGAUGCGAUGUCAGUCUUCUUUGGUUCAUUCUAUGUAUUGAACCUGGAAUACCAGGAGUCAGCGUGUGCAACAUUGGAACUAAUUCAGAGGUUUUUUGUAAGGAUAAACCCUGAAGAGGGAACAAAAUGUACCUCCAAGGUUGGGACAAGCAGACAGACUGGGACCACUGUGAAGUGAAAGGUUGUUCACAUUAACCCUCAUGUCACAACUUUCCUCCAGUGGCUUACUGAAUUUGAGUGGAGAACUUCAAAUUAGGUAACUGUUUUUGCCAUUUUUAGUGAAUUUCUUGUAUAAUUUAAGUGACCAAUGUGUUGUUACCUGUGUCUCCACAGAUGAUCCAUGGCCCAUGCUUUCUGGACAUUUACACAAGACGAACAACAAUGAAGACAAGCUCUCUCGCCAUCUUGCAAGACGCUGUCUCUGUCCAAUAGGUUUUUUGAGUGCAACAGUUUUGAUUUUUUUUUUCCUUCUUUUACCCGUUUGUUAAAAAUUAUUUCAGCUACUUACACUUUAAUUGUCACAUGUAUUGGCUCACCCUACAAAUCAAUGAACUCAGUCCACAAAGC